UACGGAGGGGGCUAGCGUUGUUCGGAAUUACUGGGCGUAAAGCGCACGUAGGCGGCUUUGUAAGUUAGAGGUGAAAGCCCGGGGCUCAACUCCGGAAUUGCCUUUAAGACUGCAUCGCUAGAAUUGUGGAGAGGUAAGUGGAAUUCCGAGUGUAGAGGUGAAAUUCGUAGAUAUUCGGAAGAACACCAGUGGCGAAGGCGGACUUACUGGACACAUAUUUGACGCUGAGGUGCGAAAGCGUGGGGAGCAAACAGG
rnacentral:rRNA from 1 species